CACCGACACCCCGGCGCGCACGCAGACUCACACUCACACGCACGCACUCGCACACACAUGCACACCCCCACACACACACACUCAUGCACUCACACAUGCACAUGCACACUCACACAUGCAUGCACACACACGCACACUCACGCGCGCAUGCACAUACACGUGCACACACAUGCACACUCACACACAUACACUCAUGCUUACAUGCACACACUAAAACAUACAUGCGCACACACACACACUCACGCACAUAUGCACUCACAUUCACUCGUGCUCAAACACACAUGCACUCACACACACACUCAAACAUGCAUCCACACGCACUGACACACAUGCAUACACACGCACUCACACACACACACACAUGCACUCACACACAUGCACACUCAAACAUGCAUCCACACGCACUGACACACACGCAUGCACACACACACUCGCACACUCACAUGCACAUGUACACACACAUGCACUGCCCUGUGUGAAAGGAUGUAGAUACCUGUGGCAGAUCAGGCCAGGAUGCAUGCGGAGGGCAAGGUGCUCAAACCCAUUGCUUGCACCGCCCCUGUGGAGUGCUGGCUCUGUGCUGAUGUACAAAGCAACUGACUGCAGCAGGACCGCAGCACACUUGCUUGCUUGCUCCGAAAUCCAGAGACGCAGGCAUUGAGAGAGGACAUUUGAUCCUGUUGCUGGGACUGGGACAAGCAAUAGCCUCCUCCCCUUCUCCUCCGCUGGUAGCCGGAGCAGCAAAGCCAGGUAUCAAGGAUUUUUCUUUCCAGCUCCUUGUCCAAGCUGUGCCUAUUUCUCUCCUGUAGCAUGAGCAGGAAGGCUUGUGGCUUCAGCCUUAGAGUAGCGUAACUCAAUUUUGUCUGCACUCCGGAGAAGCCUGGAGCUACCUCAGAGGGCUCUGUCAUCAGCUGAAGCAGAUUUUUCCUCUAAUUUUUGAAAUAGAGCUGUGGAAUUUUUUACAUCUCCAAGAAGCUUCUUUGUACUUCCAGGUCCCAUGGCCUGUGGGUGAUUUUUAUAGCAGUUAAGUCUGCUGGCUGCAAAGUGAAGUUAAAAUGAAAUAUGCCAUUGAUGGAAGAUAGAUGCCACCUCCCCUCCUCUUUAAUAUCAUAUCACAGAAUAAUUGGCAACUCAGAGCCCUUUGAUCUCCGAUGCUGUGGUGGGACCUGGAGAAGUAGAUGGCCCCAAACCAGAACGAUUCAGCCAUGAAAAUCUGCAAUAUGCAGAACCUCUCAGAUCAUCAGGUUUCUGCCUCUGAUGGAGGGGCCCUAACGGCCAUAGCCUGCAUGACAGAAAGAGUAAGGGCCUAGUCUAGCUGGUAUGAUGGAGACACACAUAACUGUUAAACGGGAAUCUGUAACUUUCUGCUUUUCAAAGCAUAUGCAGCAUUGGAGCGUGUGUAGCUGUGAUACUGAAGGGUGGCAGUUCUGGACCAUGUCAUUUACACUGAGCUGCAUUAGUUCCUUAGUUACAUGGUUAAAUAUUUUACUGGACAUUUAAGUGAUAUUUAUGGAUGUAAGCUGGUACAGCCUGAAAACUCUGAAAUAAAUUAAAGGGAGAGUUAAGAACUGUCAUGGGAAUAGCUAUGAGAUACCCUUACAGGUAGUACUUGACGGCACUGUUGAUCACUUAUUUAUACCUUUUAUCCAAAGGGUGUAAUAACUAUGUAAAGUAUUUGUAUGUAAAAAUGACUAAUAUACAUACAUGGGAAUGAA